UGUUUAAAAUACAAGACGGAGUAUAAUUAUUAUUAAUAAUAGAAUAAAAUAGAGUGUGUGUGUCUAAAAAGUACCUAAUAUUUAUUAUAGAUUUUCUUUAUUACUUUACUUUUUUCUGGAGUUCUAGCUAUAAUAAAUAAAUUUUGUAUAUGUGUAAUUUAACAUAAACACUUUCAAACUUUGUUAAAAAAACGUUUGCAGGACUGAUUUUUUGCAAAUAUUAAAAAACAACAAAAACGAGAAUAAAAAACGAAACAACAAAUCUUCCAAAUCUAGUCUUCUUCUUAAUUUUUAAAACGAUAUAAAUAUAACAAAAACUUUUAACUUCUUAACGAAUAACAAGUAAAAAUUCCAGCACAUUGUGGUCGCAAGCAAAAUGACACCUUCACAUCGUCAGGAGUUUUGUGUACGCUGGAACAGUCAUUUGGGCAGUAUAGGAGCAGCAUUUCCCCAGCUUUUAGCUGGUCAACGUUUCGUAGAUGUCACAUUAGCUUGUGAAGGACAUCAGGUGCAUUGUCAUCGUUUAGUUUUGGCCGCCUGUUCUUCAUAUUUUGAAAGUAUUUUGGCGGAAAAUCCCUGUAAACAUCCUGUCAUUAUAUUACCCUCAGAAAUUAAAUUAUGGGAGAUACAGGCUUUGGUGGAUUUUAUGUAUAAAGGUGAGGUAAAUGUUACCCAGGCUGGUUUGCCUCAAUUACUAAGAUGUGCCGAACAGUUGCGUAUUAGAGGAUUAUAUGGUUCAGAUGCUGCACUAAACCUGAAUCAGCUAAAAGCCAUGAGUGGUAAGGUCAAUGUGGCAAGUUCUAAUAACAAUAAUAAUAACAACAAUAUGGCCAACAAUACAACGGCAGAGAGUAAUGAAGAUGAGGAGGAUACAGCCACUAAUUCGACAACAACCACAACCGCCACAGCAGCCAGUACUAUACAGACAAAUGCUGCACAACAGCAACAACAACAACAAUUACAACAGCAGCAACAACAACAACAACAAAUUGUUAUUAAAAAGGAACCCACCAGCACACCAUCACACUCUUCAAAUCACUCGACACUUUCACAAAAUCUGCAAGUUUUAAAUCCUGCUAAUCUUAAAACCAUUAUGAGAAAUCCUUUAGCUUUGGCGGCCGUAGCAGCUUCUUCAUUUGCUCCUAAUGACUCUGGCGAUGAAUCCACUUCAAAUGCCUAUGAACAUUAUGAAAAUAGUCAAAAUGCCAAUACAGCUGCACCUGCACCACCCACCGGCCAUCUAAUGUCACAUCAUAUGGAUUCCACUGUCGAAGAAGAUCAUAAUUAUGUGGCCCAUGAUGAGGAUGAUAGUUUUGGUGGUGCCAUGGCUGAUUCAGAACAUGAUUCUACCGCCAAUAAUUCUAUGCUACAAUCUAUGGAUAAUAAUUGCUCCCUUAGGCGUAUACGACGUUCGGAAGAGUCUUUAGAACAGGCGGCCAAAUGUGUUUCCAAAGGUCAGACCUUCCAAACGGUUAGUAAUAUGUUUAAUAUACCCGUUUCCACAAUACGUUUCUAUAUGGCACGCAAAGGCAUUUUACCCAAACGUAAACGUGGUCGAGGUGCUUCCAAUACCGGAGGUACUAUGUCUGGUUUAAAUAUGUCUGGAGCAGCAGCUGCCGCCAAUGCGGCCGCUGUUAUGUCUCAAGCUUUGGCUCAAAUUAAACGUGCCGACAGUCCUAGUGCAGCGCAAUUCGGUGAGGCUCCUUAUCAUUUAAUGGGCUAUAAAAUGGAACCUGGUACCGCGCAUUUGGUUUAAGGAUAUCUUAAGGAGAAAUGGUCUCUCUCUAUCUCCCCUUUUAUAGGCCGCUAAAACUAAAGUUCCAUUAAACGAACUUUACAUUAAAAACAAAACAAAAAUAUCUUUAAUAAAAAAAACAAACAGAAUCUAUAAUAAAUCUAUAAGCUUUUAGCUUUCUUUUUUUUAAAUUAUUAAUCAAAAAGAAAAGCUACACAAAUUGUAAGAAUGUAUAAAUAUAAUGAAAAAGCUCUCUAACAGAUGUAUUAUAUAAAUAUUAAGUAAUUAAGAAAAAAGAAAGAAAAACUUUUGCCACAAAAAUAUAAGUUACUCUCUAAUUCUCUUCAUAAGAUAAGCUCAUUAUUUUUACUCAAACUUUUUGUAAAUUAAAAAAAUAUUUUUUAUUAAGCUUAACAUAUUAAGCUUUUUAUAAAAUUUAAGUUUUAUUUAAUUUAAUUUUUGUAAUUUUAUUUUUAUAUACAAUAUUUAUUAUUAUUAAGCCAGUCAGUAUGUUUAGUAUUUAAAUACAUAUUUUAUACAAAUGAACACUUAAUUAUAUAUCUAAUAAUAUAAUUUUAAGCGUUAGUAAAUUGAUGAAAUUCUGUUUAA
rnacentral:misc_RNA from 1 species